GCAGGUACGGGGACAUGGUGCCGCGGACGAUAGCGGGGAAGGUUGUGGGAGGGGUGUGCUCGCUGAGCGGAGUGCUCGUCAUCGCCCUGCCCGUCCCCGUCAUCGUGUCCAAU
rfam:Folsomia candida strain VT population Fcan01_Sc070, whole genome shotgun sequence.